rnacentral:rRNA from 1 species
AUGCAAGCGUUAUCCGGAAUUAUUGGGCGUAAAGCGUUUGUAGGCGGGCGAGUGUGUUUAAUGUUAAAUCUUAAAGCUCAACUUUGAAAUUGCGUUAAAAACUGCUUGUCUUGAGUAUGGUAGGGGUAAAGGGAAUUCCCAGUGUAGCGGUGAAAUGCGUAGAUAUUGGGAAGAACACUAAACAGCGAAGGCACUUUACUAGGCUAAUACUGACGCUGAGAAACGAAAGGUAAGGUAGCGAAACGGAUUAGAUACCCGUGUAGUCUUACCCGUAAACUAUGGACACUAAACGGUAAAUUUUUAAUUUACUGUUAAAGCUAACGCGUUAAGUGUCCCGCCUGGGGAGUAUGCUUGCAAAAGUGAAACUCAAAGGAAUUGACGGGGGCCCGCACAAGCGGUGGAGCAUGUGGUUUAAUUCGACGGUACACGAAGAACCUUACCAGGAUUUGACAUGCUAGAUAGUUGCUUGAAAGAGUAACGUGCCGUAAGGAAUCUAGACACAGGUGGUGCAUGGCUGUCGUCAGUUCGUGUUGUGAAAUGUUGGGUUAAGUCCCGCAACGAACGCAACCCUUGUCUUUAGUUAUUUUCUAAAGAGACUGCCUGUAAUAAACAGGAGGAAGGUAAGGAUGAGGUCAAGUCAUCAUGCCCCUUAUGUCCUGGGCUACACACGUGCUACAAUGGGAAAGACAAUGAGCUGCAAAUCUGUAAAUUUAAGCAAAUCUCUUAAACUUUCUCGUAGUUCGGAUUGUGGGCUGCAACUCGCCCACAUGAAGUUGGAAUCGCUAGUAAUCGCCAGUCAGCUAUAUGGCGGUGAAUCCGUUCCCGGGCCU